rnacentral:lncRNA from 1 species
CCUGAAUGAAGCUGUCCAGUUUGAUAUGUCAGUCUAAAGCUUGGAAGAAAAAUCUGGGCCAGAGAUAAGAUUCAGGAGUCCUUGGUAUAUUGAUGCUAAUUGAUAUAAUGAGAAUGGAUUAGGGCAGCCAGGCGAGAAAGUAUAGAGAAUGGGAAAAGUAGUUUGCUUAGGAUGAAAAGAAUGCCAGAAAUUAACUAGUAAGCAGUAGGGGGUCCCCUGAAGAAAACCAAGAAGGAAGAGUCUUUGAGGUGUCAUGACAACCAGGAGAGUGAGGCAUCAAGGAAUCCAAGAGGACAGAGAUCUCGAUAAACUAGUGACAAACAGCAGAAAAAGCCAGAAAGGGGAUUUUUUUAAAGUCCAGUGGAUUUGGUGAUUCAAAGACAUCAGGGCUGUUAGUAUUUCAGCAGAAUAGAGUAAGUGGGUACAAACUAAAGUGAAGAAAAUCAAAUUUUACUUUUAUUUGGAGGAGGAUGCAGGAUUGUGUGGAUAGAGUCCAAAAGAUGGAGAGAGAAUAAAUUCUACAUACUUGCUCUUUUCUGUUGCCUGCAACUGGAUAAAUAUGUGUCUACAAAACUAAAGUGUGGAGAACUGAGGAAAUGAUCCAGAGAAUUCAGCUCCCAGUUCAACGUUUGCCUCAGCCUGUUCAUUUGUUCAACCAGAAAACUUUAUAAAACGAAAUUCCUCCUGCAUAGAGGAGGUGGAAGGCAGGUGACCAUCUGCAAACCAGGAAGAGCAUCCUCACCAAGAACCAAGUCAGCCAGCAUCUGGAUCUUGCACUUCCCAACCUCCAGAAUUGCGAGGAAAUAAAUUUCUGUUCUAUAGGC